GGCUACUAUACAUGCAAGUCGAGCGGACAGAUGGGAGCUUGCUCCCUGAUGUUAGCGGCGGACGGGUGAGUAACACGUGGGUAACCUGCCUGUAAGACUGGGAUAACUCCGGGAAACCGGGGCUAAUACCGGAUGGUUGUUUGAACCGCAUGGUUCAGACAUAAAAGGUGGCUUCGGCUACCACUUACAGAUGGACCCGCGGCGCAUUAGCUAGUUGGUGAGGUAACGGCUCACCAAGGCGACGAUGCGUAGCCGACCUGAGAGGGUGAUCGGCCACACUGGGACUGAGACACGGCCCAGACUCCUACGGGAGGCAGCAGUAGGGAAUCUUCCGCAAUGGACGAAAGUCUGACGGAGCAACGCCGCGUGAGUGAUGAAGGUUUUCGGAUCGUAAAGCUCUGUUGUUAGGGAAGAACAAGUGCCGUUCAAAUAGGGCGGCACCUUGACGGUACCUAACCAGAAAGCCACGGCUAACUACGUGCCAGCAGCCGCGGUAAUACGUAGGUGGCAAGCGUUGUCCGGAAUUAUUGGGCGUAAAGGGCUCGCAGGCGGUUUCUUAAGUCUGAUGUGAAAGCCCCCGGCUCAACCGGGGAGGGUCAUUGGAAACUGGGGAACUUGAGUGCAGAAGAGGAGAGUGGAAUUCCACGUGUAGCGGUGAAAUGCGUAGAGAUGUGGAGGAACACCAGUGGCGAAGGCGACUCUCUGGUCUGUAACUGACGCUGAGGAGCGAAAGCGUGGGGAGCGAACAGGAUUAGU
rnacentral:rRNA from 1 species